rnacentral:sRNA from 2 species
CGCUCCAUCUGUUACGGUGCGGCUCCUGUUCGAACACAGGCCACUGCCCGGAAAUGUCGAGAGACGCCAAUGGGUAGAACAGCCCUCGCCGGCUUAAGGCGAAGGCUAAGGUGGCUGGGACUGCAAAGGCGGGGCUUCCCGCCGCACGGCGUGCCGUGCGCCCUACGUCGGACAGUGCCAAAUCCGCAGACGAGGGACGGAGCA